rnacentral:rRNA from 1 species
CCUACGGGUGGCUGCAGUGGGGAAUAUUGGACAAUGGGGGGAACCCUGAUCCAGCCAUGCCGCGUGUGUGAAGAAGGCCCUCGGGUUGUAAAGCACUUUCAGUGAGGAAGAACGCCUGGUGGUUAAUACCCAUCAGGAAAGACAUCACUCACAGAAGAAGCACCGGCUAACUCCGUGCCAGCAGCCGCGGUAAUACGGAGGGUGCGAGCGUUAAUCGGAAUUACUGGGCGUAAAGCGCGCGUAGGUGGCUUGAUAAGCCGGUUGUGAAAGCCCCGGGAUCAACCUGGGAACGGCAUCCGGAACUGUCAAGCUAGAGUGCAGGAGAGGAAGGUAGAAUUCCCGGUGUAGCGGUGAAAUGCGUAGAGAUCGGGAGGAAUACCAGUGGCGAAGGCGGCCUUCUGGACUGACACUGACACUGAGGUGCGAAAGCGUGGGUAGCAAACAGGAUUAGAUACCCCUGUAGUC